rnacentral:lncRNA from 10 species
GAAGAAUAUAAAAGGACAGGUUCAGAAUAACAUUAUGAAUAAAUUUAAGUGCAAUUAUAGCCAUAAAUAAAGAUGUUGAAAGUUAGUGAAAUGUUGAUAUAAAUGUUAAGGAAUGAUCCACAAUUACAUUUUCUGUGGUUUUAGUUACCCAGGCUCAACCACGGCCAAAAAUAUUAAAAGGAAAACUCUAGGAAGAGAAAAUCCAUGAGUUUUAAAUUGUUCACUCUUCUGAGUAGUGUGAUCAAAUCCUUUAUAUAGUGUAUGGCUCCAUCUCACCUGGGACAUGAAUCAUUGCUUCGUCCAGGAUACCUGCACAGCCUAAGUUCCCUGUCCAUUAGUCACUCAGCUGUCGCAGUUAUGAGAUUGACUAAGGUGGUAUGGUACCGCUUGUGUUCAAG